GGGUUGUGAGGUUAAGCGACUAAGCGUACACGGUGGAUGCCCUGGCAGUCAGAGGCGAUGAAGGACGUGCUAAUCUGCGAAAAGCGUCGGUAAGGUGAUAUGAACCGUUAUAACCGGCGAUGUCCGAAUGGGGAAACCCAGUGCAAUUCGUUGCACUAUCGUUAACUGAAUACAUAGGUUAACGAGGCGAACCGGGGGAACUGAAACAUCUAAGUACCCCGAGGAAAAGAAAUCAACCGAGAUUCCCCCAGUAGCGGCGAGCGAACGGGGAGCAGCCCAGAGUCUGAAUCAGCUUGUGUGUUAGUGGAACGGUCUGGAAAGUCCGACGGUACAGGGUGAUAGUCCCGUACACCAAAAUGCACAGGCUGUGAACUCGAAGAGUAGGGCGGGACACGUGGUAUCCUGUCUGAAUAUGGGGGGACCAUCCUCCAAGGCUAAAUACUCCUGACUGACCGAUAGUGAACCAGUACCGUGAGGGAAAGGCGAAAAGAACCCCGGCGAGGGGAGUGAAAAAGAACCUGAAACCGUGUACGUACAAGCAGUGGGAGCACCUUCGGGUGUGACUGCGUACCUUUUGUAUAAUGGGUCAGCGACUUAUAUUCUGUAGCAAGGUUAACCGUAUAGGGGAGCCGCAGGGAAACCGAGUCUUAACUGGGCGUUAAGUUGCAGGGUAUAGACCCGAAACCCGGUGAUCUAGCCAUGGGCAGGUUGAAGGUUGGGUAACACUAACUGGAGGACCGAACCGACUAAUGUUGAAAAAUUAGCGGAUGACUUGUGGCUGGGGGUGAAAGGCCAAUCAAACCGGGAGAUAGCUGGUUCUCCCCGAAAGCUAUUUAGGUAGCGCCUCGUGAACUCAUCUUCGGGGGUAGAGCACUGUUUCGGCUAGGGGGUCAUCCCGACUUACCAACCCGAUGCAAACUACGAAUACCGAAGAAUGUUAUCACGGGAGACACACGGCGGGUGCUAACGUCCGUCGUGAAGAGGGAAACAACCCAGACCGCCAGCUAAGGUCCCAAAGUCAUGGUUAAGUGGGAAACGAUGUGGGAAGGCACAGACAGCCAGGAUGUUGGCUUAGAAGCAGCCAUCAUUUAAAGAAAGCGUAAUAGCUCACUGGUCGAGUCGGCCUGCGCGGAAGAUGUAACGGGGCUAAACCAUGCACCGAAGCUGCGGCAGCGACACUAUGUGUUGUUGGGUAGGGGAGCGUUCUGUAAGCCUGCGAAGGUGACCUGUGAGGGUUGCUGGAGGUAUCAGAAGUGCGAAUGCUGACAUAAGUAACGAUAAAGCGGGUGAAAAGCCCGCUCGCCGGAAGACCAAGGGUUCCUGUCCAACGUUAAUCGGGGCAGGGUGAGUCGACCCCUAAGGCGAGGCCGAAAGGCGUAGUCGAUGGGAAACAGGUUAAUAUUCCUGUACUUGGUGUUACUGCGAAGGGGGGACGGAGAAGGCUAUGUUAGCCGGGCGACGGUUGUCCCGGUUUAAGCAUGUAGGCUGAUUGUCCAGGCAAAUCCGGAUAAUCAAGGCUGAGGUGUGAUGACGAGGCACUACGGUGCUGAAGUAACAAAUGCCCUGCUUCCAGGAAAAGCCUCUAAGCAUCAGGUAACAUCAAAUCGUACCCCAAACCGACACAGGUGGUCAGGUAGAGAAUACCAAGGCGCUUGAGAGAACUCGGGUGAAGGAACUAGGCAAAAUGGUGCCGUAACUUCGGGAGAAGGCACGCUGGUGUGUAGGUGAAGCCCCCGCGGGUGGAGCUGAGACCAGUCGAAGAUACCAGCUGGCUGCAACUGUUUAUUAAAAACACAGCACUGUGCAAACACGAAAGUGGACGUAUACGGUGUGACGCCUGCCCGGUGCCGGAAGGUUAAUUGAUGGGGUUAUCCGUAAGGAGAAGCUCUUGAUCGAAGCCCCGGUAAACGGCGGCCGUAACUAUAACGGUCCUAAGGUAGCGAAAUUCCUUGUCGGGUAAGUUCCGACCUGCACGAAUGGCGUAAUGAUGGCCAGGCUGUCUCCACCCGAGACUCAGUGAAAUUGAACUCGCUGUGAAGAUGCAGUGUACCCGCGGCAAGACGGAAAGACCCCGUGAACCUUUACUAUAGCUUGACACUGAACAUUGAGCCUUGAUGUGUAGGAUAGGUGGGAGGCUUUGAAGCGUGGACGCCAGUCUGCGUGGAGCCAACCUUGAAAUACCACCCUUUAAUGUUUGAUGUUCUAACGUUGGCCCCUGACCGGGGUUGCGGACAGUGUCUGGUGGGUAGUUUGACUGGGGCGGUCUCCUCCCAAAGCGUAACGGAGGAGCACGAAGGUUAGCUAAUCCUGGUCGGACAUCAGGAGGUUAGUGCAAUGGCAUAAGCUAGCUUGACUGCGAGCGUGACGGCGCGAGCAGGUGCGAAAGCAGGUCAUAGUGAUCCGGUGGUUCUGAAUGGAAGGGCCAUCGCUCAACGGAUAAAAGGUACUCCGGGGAUAACAGGCUGAUACCGCCCAAGAGUUCAUAUCGACGGCGGUGUUUGGCACCUCGAUGUCGGCUCAUCACAUCCUGGGGCUGAAGUAGGUCCCAAGGGUAUGGCUGUUCGCCAUUUAAAGUGGUACGCGAGCUGGGUUUAGAACGUCGUGAGACAGUUCGGUCCCUAUCUGCCGUGGGCGCUGGAGAAUUGAGGGGGGCUGCUCCUAGUACGAGAGGACCGGAGUGGACGCAUCACUGGUGUUCGGGUUGUCAUGCCAAUGGCACUGCCCGGUAGCUAAAUGCGGAAGAGAUAAGUGCUGAAAGCAUCUAAGCACGAAACUUGCCCCGAGAUGAGUUCUCCCUGAGACUUUAAGUCUCCUGAAGGAACGUUAAAGACGAUGACGUUGAUAGGCCGGGUGUGUAAGCGCAGCGAUGCGUUGAGCUAACCGGUACUAAUGAACCGUGAGGCUUAACCUUACAACGCCGAAG
rnacentral:rRNA from 1 species